UCCGCUAUGGUGUAAUGGUAACUACACUGCCCCCUCAAGGCAGAGCUGAGGGUUCGAUUCCCUCUAGCGGAU
rnacentral:tRNA from 1 species